rnacentral:rRNA from 1 species
UACGAAGGGGGCUAGCGUUGCUCGGAAUCACUGGGCGUAAAGCGCACGUAGGCGGCUUUGUAAGUUAGAGGUGAAAAGCCCCAGGGCUUAACCCUGGAAAUUGCCGUUUUAAGUACUAGCGAUCGCUAGAAUCGUGGAGAGGUGAGUGGAAUUCCGAGUGUAGAGGUGAAAUUCGUAGAUAUUCGGAAGAACACCAGUGGCGAAGGCGACUCACUGGACACGUAUUGACGCUGAGGUGGCGAAAGCGUGGGGAGCAAACAGGG